rnacentral:misc_RNA from 1 species
CAAAACAUGAGUAUCUAAUAUAUAUUUACAGAUGCAUAUAAAGAGUGGAGGUGGAGCUAAUCAAAAUUGUAAAAUUAGUUGAGCACACAUAAUUCACACGCCAAUCACAUGAACAUGAUUUCCAUUCCAUUUCAUCACGGUCGAUCGCCAAACGGUUCUAGUUCUAUUGUGUUUACAUUUUUAAGGCAAAUUAAGCAUUAUUAGAGUUAUUUUUUCUACUUAAUUUAUUUCUUUUUUUUUCAUUGCGGGGAUUUGAGAGUUGAAAUUAAACCUAAAGUCGUCACCUUCCUUCGGAAUCAGGAUCUAUUUCCAUGGCAAUCAUUCGGAAUCAGGAUCCAUUUCCAUGGCAUGAUAAGCAGCAGAAUCGACCACCAAAGAAAGUGUAGGAAUACAACUUUCAGCUCGAACUAAAACGUUAGUCUGCAUCUCAGUGCUGUUCCUCGUCGGACUACAGGGCAUCGACCUGAGCGAUUUAGGAGAUUCCAAGCUCCUCCUAAGAAGCUGCCUCAUUGCAGCGAUCAAGUGAAUUGUCGGAUCUGGAGGAGGAGUGGACGAACUGAACUUCUUACAGAAAUUGAGAUGACGAGUUAAGGCUUCUUCCGCGUUAAUCAACCUCUCACAUCGCAUCAUCUCAUCCUUCACUGCUUCCGCACACAGUCCGCAUAUCCAUUUUCCUUGAUACCGCUCGCGGAUCGUCUCUAUGUAAGCCAGAGUACAUUCCUCCGUCAAUCCACAACAAUCGCAUUUCGCGAAAUCCACCUCGAUCGUCGGUGCCGCUAGUUUUCCUCCCUCCGCAGCGUUCAUCACUACCGCCGACUCACUGAUUACACUCGUCGACAUCGUUAAUCGUCAAACUGCAGAAGCAGAGAUCGAAACAGAGAUAAAAAUAUACGAAAAUACAAAACUACAAAGUUUUUUUUAGUGAUGAUCUGAUUCCUUCUACUUCUACUUUUCUCGAAGAAGAAGAAGAAGAUCAGUAGAAGCAGAAAUCGUAUUUUUUUUUCUUCUAAUUAUCUUUCUUUCUCCCACUCGCCUUCUUCGUCCUUUGUUUCUUCAGGAACAAAAAAAGUAUCCAUGAAAGACAUGACAAAACUCAAACAACUUCUCAACCAGUCUCUGAAAAUUCCAAUUCGAUAACGAAGAAUUUACUUAUCACAGAGAAUGCAUAAAUUGAUAGAAACUGACAAAAAGUAUAUAAUCUUCUUUUUCUCUCCCACGAAAAUUCUUUUUCUUUUUUUUCUGAGCCUUUUUCAGGAAGAGUGAGAAAUAAGGGAGGAUUGGGAGUCUAAAAAGAAACUCUCUCAAUG